UACGUAGGGGGCAAGCGUUGUCCGGAAUUAUUGGGCGUAAAGCGCGUGUAGGCGGCCAGAUAAGUCCGCCGUGAAAUCUCGAGGCUCAACUUCGAGCUGUCGGUGGAAACUGUCUGGCUAGAGUCCGGAAGAGGAGAAUGGAAUUCCUGGUGUAGCGGUGAAAUGCGCAGAUAUCAGGAAGAACACCCGUGGCGAAGGCGGUUCUCUGGGACGGUACUGACGCUGAGACGCGAAAGCGUGGGGAGCGAACAGG
rnacentral:rRNA from 1 species